rnacentral:rRNA from 1 species
UACAGAGGGUGCGAGCGUUAUUCGGAAUUACUGGGCGUAAAGCGUGCGUAGACGGUUAUUUAAGUCGGGCGUGAAAGCCCCGGGCUCAACCUGGGAAUUGCAUUCGAGACUGAAUAGCUAGGGUACGGUAGAGGGAAGUGGAAUUUCCGGUGUAGCGGUGAAAUGCGUAGAUAUCGGAAGGAACAUCAGUGGCGAAAGCGACUUCCUGGACCAGUACCGACGUUCAGGCACGAAAGCGUGGGGAGCAAACAGG